rnacentral:rRNA from 1 species
UACGAACCGUGCGAACGUUAUUCGGAAUCACUGGGCUUAAAGCGCGUGUAGGCGGGACGGCACGUCGGUCGUCGAAAUCCCCCGGCUCAACCGGGGAACGGGCGCCGAUACGACCGUCCUGGAGGGACGUAGGGGGACCUGGAACUUCCGGUGGAGCGGUGAAAUGCGUUGAGAUCGGAAGGAACGCCCGUGGCGAAAGCGAGGUCCUGGACGUUUUCUGACGCUGAGACGCGAAAGCCAGGGGAGCGAACGGG